CUAUAAGCAACAACUGCAUGUCAUGCAGGAAGGAUUGAGCUCACAUAAUUAUCUCAUUUUAUGAAGAUCUCAAAGUUUUUCUUAUUUGGUCCUUUUAAGAUUUUAUUUGGCCAACCAAAAGAAGAGUUUGGGAUAUGAGUUGAGAAAUGCAAUUUAUGUUCAAAAUAUGAAAUCCCACAUCGGAAAAUUAAGUUUACAACUUGAAACAGAGAAGUGAUGUUACAAAUCUGGUCACAACUCUUAUGAGUUAUGAGCAAUUUUGGAGCAAAUUGUUUCCUUCUUUCAUAGACUUGGUUUAACAUGAAGAAAUUAAGAGCACUUCCACCGGGGUGCAAAUGUGCCAGCACCCAGUCAAAAAACAAAGCUAGGGGUCAGUCCAUUCACUCCAGCCCACAAACUUGCCUGGCACCCAGCUCAAGCUGGGCAACAGACCAGCCCAUUUUUGACAAACCUAGAGACCGGCCUAUUUGGCUAGCGCGUGCAGUUCACUCGCGAGUGGGCGCGAGUAGGGGACAUGGGUGCAGGCGGCAAGGCCCACUAUCAGCCCACUUGUUCUUCACCCUGAAGUAGGUGACGUAGCCCUCUCAGUGUCGUUGGAUU
rnacentral:lncRNA from 1 species